AUUUAUUUAUUGCAUAGGUGUGAGAGAUGUGAACCCUUCAGCGUUAAGCAGGAAAGUACUAAAAAAGAACGCUAUGGGUAAAAUGGCUUGUCAUUAAUGCUUUUAUGAUAAAAUCCAUGCCAGGUUGAGACCUUGCUCUUUCGCCUCCUUUUGACGAUCAGCCCUUUUCCUACUGCCCACACAAUGUCCUUGGACUUAGAACUAAUGAUUUUCCCACCUGCCUUCCUUCUAACCUGCUUUGCCCACGCUUGCAUCCACAGCCCCACAGCUGCAAUGACCAUUGUCUGUGUUCAAAGCCUCUUGCUCUCAUUGGAGUCAAGAAGGGAGAGAAACUCUUAGAAUACUGUUAAAGACCAGCUGGGAUUUGAUUUGUAUUGAGUAAUGGCGCCACAAUAUUACCUAUCAGGGCAGCAUAGCAGAGCUGAAAUCUCUGUGAAGAAGAGGAUUUACCCUAAGGAGAAGAGAAAAUGGAGUCAGAAGUCAGAGUGAAGGAAAGCAUUGAAAGUAAGUGACAACAGAAAACAGUAACUUUCAUCAAAUUGCUUUUGCAUCUGGCGCCUGUCUUCUACGUUGCCAAAUAUAUGCACUCCUGCAUGAUGGAGCGUGGGAGGGCUGUGAUUAGUCUCAGGAAGAGAGGGGCAGAUGUCGGACAUUCUGCAGCAUUCAACACAAGUGAACAGCAUUUAGAAAAACAAGACACUUAUGUUGCCCCAGGAGAGCUCAUCUUUCAAGAAAAUAUGAACCACUGAAUUUUGUAGGGGUGCACGGAUCCAAGCUGCUAGACACUGGAGCAAGUUUCAUACAAGCGUGUCUGAGCUUCAGCAUUGUAUAGCAGAAGUUUUCUUCAGAAGGAGCCCAAGAAGAGUAUAUCCUCAACCUACACCUUUUUUUAGUUUGAAUUUCCUACACUAUCUUUGAGAUGCCUUUCAGCCAGAUGACUUCUCACUUCCACUAACCCUUUUUAUAGUUAAGUGACUGUAUGUGAGGUUUCACAGUACUACUCUAGAGGCUUACAAGUCAGUCUCAUGAGUUCACCUACAGCUCCAGUUCUUCUUAUAGCAAUCGUUUACUUCCAGAUUGGAAGAUCCAUACAAAAUGGAAAGUAUGUAUAGUAUGGAAAGUGGCUUGAGGAUGUGUUCAAUGACCAGCCUUCAAUAUAACUAAUCUUAUAAAAGGAAAUCUCAUCAGCAAGAUGUAUAAAAUGCUGGUGGGGAUUAACUACAAUAUCGAACCUAAGAAGAACUCAUAACUGUUGGAAGUAAUAACAACAGGGCUAUCGUUUGCAUAUUCUUUGCCAUACAACACACCAGUUGACAAACCCCCCUAAUAAAAGGCUCAGACCAAUUGGAGGAGAGGCAGUAACAAUCCAUACUGAUCUGACUGAAAUUUUUGUAAAUAGAUUAAGCAAUACAGGCUGAAGAACACCAGAGAAAUGACUGAAAUAUUGCUAAAUGCCCCCUGAAAGUCAUUUAGCUUAGGCUCUGGUUGCGAACAAACUGGAUUAUGGAAGUGCUGUCAUCAAGAAAGAUUAUAUUAUGUUCAUACAGAUUCAUCAGGUGCAAUCAAGUCAAUCUCUAUUCAGGGAGAAACAAAGCACUCUGUUAAAAAUAAGUCCAUAUCAUAACAUUGUCCAGGGAAUAUUAUGGUUGAUAGUGAAUAUGAGCUGAAAAAAAUUCUCAGUCAUCUCUCUUAUUCACAGUAAAAAAAGAACAAACACUUUCUAAACAGUUGAGAUUCAUUGUUCGAUAGCAAGCCAUGAAAAUUGUAUGUCAGUAAGCAUUUUUUUCCCCCACGCAGAGUUUAGUUAAGAAAUGUAACAUACAGGGUAGUGUCUUUCUGCCAUAUAUUCAGUGCUUCUUGCUUAAGACAGGGAUCAACCUUCGCAUACGAUCCUGCAAAUAACACACAGCUGGAAAUCCAGAAAUGAAUGUAUGUCAUGCAACACCUACUGAUUAUCAAAAGGCUUGACUGUGGACUUCCAAGGAGCCACACUGAGACCUUGCAAGAUCUGACAGCAAUUCUUUCUAUGUUUCUAACACCUCAUUUGAACAUUUAAGCAAGUUUUAGCAACUGGGAUCAUCUGUCCAGCCUAUCCACUCAUCCCAUGUGCCUGUAAUCUGUCAUAAAUUCAGGUUUCAUUAUUGGCAGAAUUUAUGAGCUGGGAUUAUGUUGUCUUUGUAGAAGAGACUAGUAUGAUAACAAAGGAAUGGUUUUCUGAGACAAUAAAACUCUAAAAGUCACUCUAGAGACGUUUUGGAAAAUAAGAUCAAAGUUCUUUGAAAAUAAUCCCAUAAAACUACUGCAACUAAUACUACUUUAAGUAUCUGGUUUGCAAAGACAUUUGAGCAGUACACUGACAAACAUUGCAGUCCAUUUUCAAAUUGAUUUAGACACCAAAAGCAAAAGCUACAAACAAAAGUGGUAACUUGUGGUCCUCAGCAAGGGGAAGAGGGAUGAGGUCCUCAGAAAAGUGACCUGAAACCAAAUCUUUCCUACAACAGGAAGGCACUCCAACUUCCUUACUAUUCACAGGAUACAGGUGUUUAUCUGCUCUGCUUUCGGCCUCCUGGAUCUCAAGUUUUUUUUUGUUUUUGUUUUUUUUUUUUUUUUAAGAUGAAAUCUGGUAAGAGUGGUCUGAGAAAGAAAAAACAGUUUGGACCAUCCAGGUCUUUUUUUGAAUCCUGAUGUAGUCUAAACGUGAGUUAGCUACAUUGUCCCACAAUUACCAAAGGUUUAGGAUGCUUUCCUCUUGUAGAGAAACAGAUAUAAAACUGUGUGGAUUUGGAGAUGCUGACUAGGCACAUUUGUUCUCCUGUAGGUCUCAUUCUUAGUUUCAUUGAAUACAAGUGGGGCUUACUCUUCUUCAUGACCAAGCCAUGACUAAAAGUGAUUCUUGGCCAUCCAAAAAACUUUGACCUUGUAAUACUAGGAUAACUCAGAGCAUCUUCAUACUUGCUCAGAUGAAUCAUUUCUUCUAAUUGCUGAAAAGGAGUUUUGGGGAGAGGAACAAGGCUAGAAAAUGUUACGCAGUUUCAUUCUCCCAUACUGCAGCAGCUGACAUAGACUUUAUCAUGUUUCCUUUCCCCACAUAUUCCCUCUCCCCUCACAGCUUCAAGUGAAGCAGAAAAAAUUCCUCUGCCUACCUCCAUUUCUCCCUCCUUCUCCUGCACCACACAGUGUUACUGCUAAUCAGCAACAUUUUCUUUGGCUGACAGCUCAACCCCAUGUUGUCUCCUGAUCAAUGCUGAUACAGCACAUCCCAGCACACAGGAAAGGACAAAAGAAGGCAUAGAGGUCUGGGAGGGUAGUAAGAGUAACUGUGGGUUAUAUAUUGAGUUGUGCUAUGUGCACAUCUAUGUGGACACUUGGUAUGCCCAUGCCUUCAGCACUGACGGUCAAAGAGCAUCCUGAAUGAGUGCCAUCCUGUUACUCUGGAUGAGUGGUUCAUGCUGUUCCAGUCCCAAGCAGAAGGAAUAAAACCUCAAGGUGGCUAUGCAAAGUGGUAUAGGGAUCAAAAAUGCAGACAGUGUGGGAAAUAAUUAUAUCCAGUUUGUUAUGUAGUCACCAUCACCUUUCAGGUAGGUCUUUCCAGGGUGUUCUCCCAGUGUAGCUGAAGAAAAAGGACACUAUUCUCUUUUCCAUUACCCCCCAACCAAGGUGCGUGACUACUGACCAAAAGUGAAAUCAGGAAUGCUGUGGGCAACAGGCAUUUUAGUUUCACACCUUAAACAUGAGACAGGGAAUGAGCAGAAUAAAUGUAAGUUCUUCCUUCAUGUCAGACCUCACAGAGGAAGCAGCUGUAGGAACAGUGAUACUCUCCCAGCAUGUGAGUGGGAAAGGCAGAAAAGGUUGGGAUUAAAGCCCCAGUUCUUGCACCUUGUAUAGAGAAGCCUCCUCUAGCUCAUGUAAAGUAAUCCUGUGGUGACAAAGGCAGCCUGUGGUUGUUGAAAUCUGAGGCUCAGUAAUACAGACAGAGCAGCAGCUCUUGGAACUACUGAUGCUGAAACUCCAGCCUCCACAGAAUCACAUAAUGGCCCAGAUUGGAAGGGACCUCAAGGAUCAUGAGCCACCCCUGCCACAGGCAGGGCCAACCGACCUCCACAUUUGAUACUAGACCAAGCUGCCCAAGGCCCUAUCCAACCUGGCCUUGAACACCUCUGGGGAUGGGGAAUCCAUAACCUCUCUGGGCAGCCUGUUCCAGCACCUCACCACUCUCAUAUUAAAGAGCUUCCCCCUGACAUCCAAACUAAUUCUUCCCUCUUUCAACUUAAAACCAUUUCCCCUUGUCCUGCUGUUAUCUACCCUUUCAAAGAGUUGACUCCACUCCUGUUUAUAGGUUCCCUUUAGGUACUGAAAGGCUGCAAUGAGGUCACCCCCACAUCCUUCUUUUCUUCAGGCUGAACAAGCCCAGCUCCCUCAGCCUGUCUUCACCAGGGAGGUGCUCCAGCCCUCUGGUCAUCUUUCUGGCCCUUCUCUGGACCCUCCUCAACAGCUCUUUGUCUUUCUUGUAUUGGGGGCUACAGACCUGGAUGCAGUACUCAAGAUGGGGCCUCAUGAGGGCAGAGUAGAGAGGGACAAUCACCUCCCUGUCCUUGCUGGCCACCCCUCUUCUGGUGGAGCCCAGGAUACCAUUUGCUUUCUGAGCUGCAAGAGCACACUGCUGGCUCAUGUUCAGUUUUUCAUCCACCAGGACCCCCGGGUCCUUCUCUUCAGGGCUAGUCUCAAGGAAUGUUCCUUCCAGCCUGUAUAUAUGCUUGGGAUUCCUCUGACCCAAGUGAAAAACCUUGCACUUUGCUGUGUUGAACCUCAUUAAAUUCACCCGGGGCCCACCUUUUAAGUCCACUGAGGUACCUUUGAAUGACAUCCCUUCCUUCCACCGUGUCAACCACACCACUCCUCUUGGUGUCAUCAGUAAACUUGCUGAGGGUGCAGUCAAUUCCAUCAUUGGUGUCACUGAUAAAGAUGUUAAAGAACACAACCUCCUGCAGUUGCUGGCAAAGUUCGUCAUAUUCUAUGCUGGAUUUGGACAUAGAUCCUGAUAAUCUUGAAUGUUUUGAAAACUCCACAAGGAAGUAGCUCUGAUUUCAUAGCACCAGAAUUAAUUUUUUCUAACAUCACCUUUAAAAAUAUAUAUCAACAGCAAACAGCAACAAAGCUGGUUGACAGCGCAUAUGCCAUAGAUACAGAUGGAAAAAACAUAACAUUGUAGAGUGAAGAGAGUACACUUAAAGAAAAGUAGCAAUGGUUAUGAGUGCAUUUAAUAUUUGUGCAUUCACUGAAAUAGGGUUUAGUUCUGAUAAAUCUGAAGUUUAUCUUUAGGUUUGGAUGCUGAAUCAAUGCCAUCUAGUGGUGGUAGAUGUGUUCUGGUCUUAAAGUUCACAGCCAUUUUAACAUCACUGAAGUUCCACCUAAUUAACACUUUCUUGGUGUCUUUCAUACCCUUUUAAAACUAGUCUAAAUGUUCGAUCCAGAUUAAACAACUAAGAGCCACUGAUAUAUAUAAUGAUCGAUUAUUCAUUAAUUUACUAAUUCAAAAAUGUUCAAGUUUCUAUUAAUUCAAAUAACUGUAUCACAGAUGAAGGCUUUGUUCUGUUAAAGGCAGCAUUAAAUGACAACUUAUUUAAUCCUUCUAAUUUUUAAACGAACGUCUUUGCUUCACCACAGAUUAAAGAGACAGAACCACUACACUAAAAAAGCCAUGUGAGUUUACCUAAAUAAAGGUAUUUCCUCACUGUGAGUUGCUUUUUAUUAGCUUUUAACUAGCUCCUAGUUUGCAGGUGUUUGUCAUCACACCUGGCCCCUCAGCAAUAAAUUCUUCUGAGACAACAAGAUCUGAGAAGAACGAGAGUUAACAUGUAGGAUUCAUUUCAAAGCUACACAGCAAGGCAAGGAAGUUCUGAGCCCUCUGUAGUCAUUUAUAUAAAAAAUAAGCUAUUUUGGUGGUCUGUUGUUUGCUUACAGAGUAUGGGCAGAAGUGAAAUGUCAGAAAUAAAUGUAAACUUAUCUCAUUACCCCUACAGGUUGGUAGUGGUGGUGGGCGUAAAUCAGGAGAUAAACACAGUUGUGAGCAUUAUACUUAUGGACCAUGCAACUAUUACAGCAGGAGUGCUGAAAGGGCAUCCUCUGGCCUAACUGAUCAUUUCCUUAAUAUAUUCCUUAUUCGAGGACUUUUAGUAGACUAUGCACAUUCAUAAACGUUUGGUAUUCUGUUGAGUGCUCUGUAUCAAAAUGCAUAUCUCAGAUAUGCUAUUUCUCUGAUUUAUUCCUGCUAUAAAUGCCGAUUUACAGCUUACCUGUAGGUGACAGAAGGACAGAUGAGUUGGAAGUUGCACUGAAAUGUGAAAUAGUUCUUUGCUGAGUAAGAAAACUUGGUAAAAAUUUGCAUAUCUUCUCAUUUGUGCCCAAAGGAAUUUCAACACAACUAAAGUUGAAAAAGCAUAAGAUUCUGUGGGCAGGAGCCCCAGAAAAAUUGCAGUGAGAGGAUCCUUUGCUUUGUGUUUAUGUCUUCUUCUGUUACAUUGUCCUCUUUGUAUGUUUAUUCCUAUUCUUUUUCUCUUAUAUGUUUCAUGAGCUUCUUCAAAUAUGUCCUUUUAAAAAAAGUGAAAAUUCAGUCUUGUCUUGUAAUUAGUGCUGCUAUAGGAGAUUAGGCUUUGAGAAGUUAGCUGCUGCUAGGAGGCACUGCCAGCUUUUUUCCCUUUAUGAGAAGUCCUUUGGGACUUUAUGGAAAAAAAAAAAAAAAGCCAGACAGUGCAACUACAGGUUCUUAUAUCAGCUCUAACAUGUUUUUUACAAGUGGACAAAAAUCAAUGAAUACAAAAUCUUCUAAGACAUUUGCAAAAGCAAAGAAUAUUUAUCUAAACAGUACAUGAAAAACAAAGAAAGAGCAUCUGCAGUUGUAUUUAUAUAAUAUCACAUUAUGUUAUAUAUAUAUAUUAUAAUGCAACAUGCAACCUGUAACAGACAGGAAUCACAUACAAUUCUUGUUUCCUUUCCAAACGAUUGUUGUUUAUUCUGUUCCUUACAGUUCUUGAAAGAAUUAAGAACUGCUGUGAUCUAUCAUUGCAAACAGAAAAACAUCAAAAAAAGAGGAAGGAAAACACUGUCAGUGGCACACACGUUACACCAUCUGCAAUAUAUUCUCUGCAUAUCUCCUCAUCUGUGCCCAAAGGAAUUUCAAAACAUAGAAGCUUGUAUUACCAUCAAACAUUCUGUUUUACCUGGGUAAAAACUCUUGGAUUUCCCUGCUGAACUGGGUGCCUGGGAAUUACUACAGAGGAGGUUUCAAGCUUCAGUACUGAGUCCCUUGGGAUGUGGUUGUAUGACCAUGGUACAAACAUAGUAGCUAGUGGCUACAGGAAUGGACUGUGGUUCUUGGUGAUCCUUUCACAUAUAAUCCUUCUAGCAUUCACUUAAUUAAUGUACAAAUAGAGCCUCUGUUUUUGAAAACUUGAAAGCCUACAGAUUGACAUUUUUUUUUCCAUAUCUCUAAAUCUGCAAAGGAUUUAUGUUUGAUGUUUAGGCUGAGUUGGUGUCAAACUACUCAGGUGUCUGGUUUAAUCCCCGGGAGCACACUUGGUGAAAGGCUUUCAGGUAAGCUACCAUGGCUAGCCAGAAGGCUUGUUCAUCUUCUGCCAUCCUCUCUGCCUUGCAGGGACCUCUGGUGCCCAGUGUUGCUCAGAAAUGAUGGGCCCUGAUGUUGACUGCAGCACAGGCCUUUGGCUCUCAAAUCUUUGUCAUGACCUAAAUAACACAGAGGAGGCCUAAUGGUCAGAAGAAUCAUUCAUUAAUGAAAAUUUGCAUCUCAGAAGCUGCCAAUGCUUUCACCAUCACAUCUGCUCUGCUACUAAGCCACCAAAUUUGAAACUGCCUUGUCCAUGCCCCUCUUCCACCACAGUAAAUCCCAACAUGAGAUUGAAGUGGCAGAGUCUGUCUAUCCAGCUGUUCCAUUUGGAGAGAUGUAGCCAUGAAGACAAGCUUGGUGGGGUCUGGGAAGCAGCUAUGACAUUAUUGGUCAUGUAACGGCCUGGGCUGUGCAGAGCUACUCUGCGCAUGUCCAUUCUUACAGGCACGGUCUGCAUAAGAGCUAUGUAGCCCAAAACUGGAAGAAGCAAUUAGUUUUGUCCUUGCUAAGUUCUCAUCUGACAACAGAUAGAUGAAAGUUUCCAGGUGGUUAAAAAUAUUCCUCUCUCUUUUCCCAAAGCAUUGCACUGGCACUGGUCAUAACUUAAGCAGAGAAGCAAGCGAUGCAUCAAGAUCCAUCCUGGCAGUUGGGGUCAGAUAUUAUGAUCUAAUUGGUUAAAUAAUGCUGGCCUCUUUUGAAUGUGUUUGAAGAUACUUUUAAUUAUAUAAUCCAAAGAAACAUCCUUCAUGCUUUAUUAAGAAGCAUGAAAUAGUCAUUGCUAUUAUGAGUUGUUUUUACUGAUGAAAGAAAAUGAAUGUGAAAUAAAAGGAUAAUGAAACGACACUUACCAUUUUUCUUCCUGUGAUGGAAUAUGUUAUUAGAUUUGUACUUCCACACAGCUUCAGAGAACUCCUGGUAUGUAGCUGCACUACUGAGAACUCAUGGCAAUUCCUCAGAGAAUUAUGUAAUACAGGCUGCAGAUGCACCCUAGUUAUACAGAGGGUACCCAGAGGUGUUUUCUUUUUCCUAUUCUAAUUUCCUUGUGUUUAAUAUUUGUUGCUUAAUGAAUGCUCCCAUGAAAAUGCAAAAAUCCUGUACUUUUAGGUGAUUAAACAUCUUUGGGAGUGUGAACUUUAAAUAAUUUUGGUCAAAUUCACAUUUGCUGCAUCAGAAUCAGUUGUGAUGACUGUGCUGAGACACCAUCGUUCUAUUUACUAAUCUUCUUUUACUCUCAGAACAAACCUCAAUCAAUCAUGCACUGCUUUCAGUCGCCACUCCAGCACUUCCCAUUUCUCACUAGAUGUUUUGUAAGACAUGGCUGUUUUCCUCCAAGAUACUAUACAACUCCAAGCAACCAGUAGCCUCUCAAGUACUAUCAACACAAAAUCUUUGAAAUUACACAUUCAUACGCCAGCCUAAUGAACAGUGUUUGCAAAUGAAGGAUAAAUAUUGUAGAUGUGCAGGCAUUCCAUUCUUCUCUCCCAAGUAUUAGUAUUCAUAUGGAAGACAACUUACCAAGAGGCAUGUGACCAAAUGUGCAAGAAAAGACAGCAGAGAAGUGCAUUUACAAAAUAUACAACAUUUCAGUGAAAGACUCCCUCAGCAGUGGAAUCUUUUUUCUUUUAAAAUACUAUUAGCAUUAUUACAUUGAGCACCUCUAUGACUGCAAUUGAGAAGGUCGCUAGAGGUGUUCAGGCAUCUCUAGAAAAGAAGCAUUGAAGAGAUGUAACCUGUUUUUGACACUACCAGAUGUAAGUAAAAUUUCCUUUACUGAUAGAGAAAUGAUUUUUCUUUUAGCAGAAUUGCAGCAGAUAUCACAUUUCUGAUUAUACCACACAAAGAAACUGCAGUACACGCUCCUCAGAAUAGCUGUGCAUGAAUGUCCAUAUGUAUAGAACACCAGCAUCAAUCAAUACCCCCAGGUCUAUUUCCUCUACACGGUCUUUCAGCAACUCUGCCCCAGUCCUGUAGCGUUGCCUGCGGUUGUUGUGGCCAAAGUGCAGGACCCGGCAUUUGGUCUUGUUGAACCUCAUCCCAUUGGCUUCAGCCCAGAUAUCCAGCCUGUCCAGAUCCUUCUUUGUCCCAGUGUAAAACAUAAAGUGCAGUAACUCCAGGAUUAUGCAUUUAAAGUAAGGUCUCAAAUAGAGGUUUCAGAGCUCUCCCAGUGUUCUUAUCUCACAUCAGAUGGCAUCCCUUGAUGCCAUGUGUGUUGAAGGACUUCAAAUAAAGAACAGGUUAAUAUCAGAUCUGCAUUUGGUUCCUUCUUAGAUCCUUUCUCUAUGAAUAAAGCUGCAAAAAUAUUUUUGUCCCCAUAAUAAGGUAAAAUCUGAUUCCUAUUUCUUGUCAAUACUGUAUUAUAUGAACUGAGAGGGAUGUGGAUAUAUUUUAUUUUAUUUUGUCUUACUUUAUUUUUAUACUGUUGAGCAAGGCUUUUUUGAUUAAUGAAUUCAGAAAAUAAAUUGCAACUACAUUAAAAGGACAGAUACACUUGGUUACUAGUUUGUAGGAAGGCUACCUGGACAGUGAAGCUGAGCAAUAAUUCUUAUAACAUGCUGCCAGUAAAUACAGGUGGUAAUUUAGCUGUGAUUUAAUUCUUUUUGUAAUAAGCAGUCACACAACUGACAGAAAUAUGCAUACACAUGGAUUUCCUAAACCAUUCAUCAAGAUGGCAAUGUGUAAUAUAGAUUUCACUGAAUAUAAAUUAAAAAAAAGUACAAAAGCACUCUUUUAUGCCGUAACCAAUAAAUUUGUAAACAUGUUCCAAAAUAACCCCUACAAAUAGAAUUUAAAUGGCACCAUAUUCACAGUGAAAGAACAUAAAUAAGAUCCCACGGUCAGUGCCCUGAUUGAUGAGAUCGCUGCAGCAAAUCAGAGAAAGAAUUGAAGAAAAAUGAAAAUUUUGCCUGACAAGAAUAGAGAUUUUUACAUCAGCCUUUUCUACACUGAACAGAAUCAAAACCAGUAGGAAAAGCAGAGGAAGUAGCCAAAACAGUGGAAGUAUUGAGUAAGAUGCUUUCAGCAAUCACAGAAAAAAUACUUACUGUCUCCCACCAGGGUUUACUUAGAUGUUCACAUAUUAAGCUCUCAAUUAAAAUAAUAAGAUCAAAGCAGGCAAAAUAUACUGCUGGAAAUAUUAAAAGUUGUUACAUGAAUUCUCUGUGAUUUCUCAAAGCACUGGCCACCCAGCUCUUCAGUGUGUCUUCAGAGGUGGUCAGCUGCUGAUGCUUCAGGGGAUGGCUAAAAAACAAAACAGAAGCAGAACAGAAGCAAUGCUGUGGGAAAAAACACAUUCGCUUUAAGUUUGUCAAGACACUGAAUGAAACUCCUGAACCUGAGGAUUAGUUAUGAUUCUAGUUUUAACAGAGAUCUAUGAGUGUUAGAAGCAUGUUAUGACUGCUAGAGGAAACAGAUGAACAUGGGAACUCAGAAUAUGAUGUUUCAAACCUGAAUGGACUGAUUAUUAUUUUUCUGGUCUCCAUACACAGGUUGGAGAAAUCUAAGUACAAAAAGCUGUUCUGUUUCAUGGUAAUGAUUCUGUGAUGGCCUGUUCACCACUGUCCACGGUCAAACUGGUUGACUGCUGAACCAGUCUGGUUUCUUCAGCUCCUACUUGCAGCAGCUGGACCUUCUCAUCAGCUCAUCUGGAACUUAAGGAGACCUUAUAUUUUCUCAUGUACCUAAACAAGUUCUUCUAUAGCACAUCUAAGACUAAAGGAACUGAAGUUUUCUGAGGAUGAUCAUUCAACCUCCUUCCAAAGUCAACACCAAGAGAAAAAAGGAUGUCAUCACUGACAGAUCACUGAACCUCACAGCAGUCUGUUUUCUUGCUUUUUAUAACCUGCUCAAAGUAACAUGGGCCUCCCACUGUUUUAGGAUUACAGAGUGAAUAAGAGAAUAUGAAGUGAUCACUGACAGCUCCAAGCAGUACAAACACAAAACAUACAAAGAUUUACAUCAAGAAAGGAAGAAGUACUUCUAAGCUGAAAUAAAAGCAAAAACUGACCAAUGUUAUCCAGAGGUGUUGGCUGAUGUGGAAUUUCUGAGAUGAUUUCUUUGGUUAAUAUAUGAAUAAACCCCAGGUGAAAGGCUAUUAAUUAGCAGUCUUGUUUUCACUUGCUUGGAAAAACAGAGGAAUCAUCCUCUUUGGUUUUAAGCCUUUAAGUGGUACUAAUUGUUUUUGGCCAAGAAAACAUAGUUAGGAACUUUUAGAUCAAUGAACUGAUCUUGGUGAGGAAUGGUAUUUUGGAAAAACACUAAGCCUCUAGUUCUUUUGUUUGUUUGUUUGUUUGUUUUGUUUUGUUUCAUUUUGUUUUUACCAGCUGCUGACCCACUAAAUAGGCAAAUGAGUAAAUAAAUUGAACUCUGAAGGUGUCAUGGAAUGAUAAUCCCAUGACUGUCAAACCGGUUGUACAACACUGGUGGUAUUUUGCUGCCAAAAUGCCCGGUAAUCCCAAGUAACCAUGAUUUGUGCCAGAUUUAUUAACAAGCCCUAGAUGUGCUAAUUUUGUUUCCAUAUAGCGUACAGAAAAAGUGUCAAGAAUAAUGGCUAAGCCAUCUUCCAAGAAUAACAUUAAUACUUUAAGCUUCUGUUAACAUGGAUGCACUGAAAAAAAUAGGAUGUUAAAUACUCCAUGAUAGAUGUUCUGUAUUCAAAAUCUCUUAUGAUAAUACACAACUAAAAAGUGAGUGUAUGUGUAGAACUGCAGCCAUUUGAACCUUGUUUAUCUUUUUUCCAGGAAAAAGAACCUUAGCUGUAAACAUUCGAAGGAGAUGACUGAAAAGCUGUACAGCAGGAAUAAUUUAGUUUUGAAUGAGAUUAGGAGAUAAGAAUUCAUGUAGUCAGGAGCAGUUCUACAUGCACUGUUCUUUAACAAAGUUACCCCUGGUAGACAAUUUUGGGCAUAUUCAUAUGUAAGUACUUAUAUUUUUAUAAGUGGAAAAAUAUAGUACUCUGCGCGAGUGGAUUCUAUCCAUGUAACAAACUUAGGAAAGCUUUUGCAAUAAACGAAGUAUUUCAGUGGCUUUAAUUUUUUUUCCCCCACAUAAUGAAAUUACCAAGGAAGUUAUUCUCCA
ensembl:lncRNA